UUAAAAAUUACAUGUUAAAGAUAUAAAUUACAAAAAAAAUAGUUUAUACAUUCUUAUGUUACUAGAAAAGAAUAAUUUAUCACUUAAAGAUGGUAUAAUAUUAAAACUAGAAUGGCUAUUAUUCAAUACAAGAAGACUAUAGAUACUUAAAACAAAACUAAAAACAAGAAAAGUAUUGAUAAAAGUGAAGAAGACUUUAUUAUUGCCUUCAUAUAUUCUAUCUAAUAAAAA
rnacentral:lncRNA from 1 species